GACGAACGCUGGCGGCGUGCCUAAUACAUGCAAGUCGAACGCAGUGGGGACGGGUGAGUAACACGUGGGUAACCUCCCAUCAGAGGGGAUAACACUUGGAAACAGGUGCUAAACCGAUACUGAUGGAUGGACCCGCGGUGCAUUAGCUAGUUGGUGAGGUAACGGCUCACCAAGGCCACGAUGCAUAGCAGACCGGAGAGGGUGAUGGGCAACACGGGGACGGAGACACGGCCCAGACUCCUACGGGAGGCAGCAGUAGGGAAUCUUGGGAAAUGGACGAAAGUCUGACCGAGCAACGCCGUGUGAGUGAAGAAGGUUUGCGGAUCGUAAAACUCUGUUGUUAGGGAAGCGGGAUAUAACCAGAAAGCAACGGCUAACUACGUGCCAGCAGCCGCGGUAAUAC
rnacentral:rRNA from 1 species